GGAAUUGUUCACAAUGGGCGCAAGCCUGAUGACGCAACGCCGCGUGGAGGAUGAAGGUCUUCGGAUUGUAAACUCCUGUUGCUCGGGACGAAAUGCUUCGACCUAACACGUCGAAGUUUGAUGGUACCGAGUGAGGAAGCCCCGGCUAACUCUGUGCCAGCAGCCGCGGUAAUACAGAGGGUGCGAGCGUUGUCCGGAAUUACUGGGCGUAAAGGGCGCGUAGGCGGCUUGAUAAGUAGGAGGUGAAAUUCCAUGGCUCAACCAUGGAUCGGCCUUCUAGACUGUCAGGCUUGAGCACGGUAGAGGCAGAUGGAAUUCCCGGUGUAGCGGUGGAAUGCGUAGAGAUCGGGAAGAACACCAGUGGCGAAGGCGGUCUGCUGGGCCGUUGCUGACGCUGAGGCGCGACAGCGUGGGGAGCAAAC
rnacentral:rRNA from 1 species